GAAUUUUAAAUUUUAAUAUUGACACGUGUAUGCGUAUUUCCAUCUUCACGGCUUACAGUUUUAUUUUGUAGUGGUUCAAAGUCCAGCUUAGAGACAUGGAUAGAGAGAAAGAGAGAGGGUAGCGAUAAAAUGAGAGUGAUAGAGAGAGAGAGAGAGAGAGAGAGAGGGAGAGGAGAGGCGGUGAUGGAAGAACUGGCCGUCGUCUCCCGCCGGCCACCCUCUUGGCCUUCGGUCAGACCAGUGGUGGGUUGUGGUGGUUUAGAAACACGAAAAGAUGGUAGAAGGCGGUGGUGGACGAGGGUUCCAGCGUGAUAGUAUGCGACAAUAAUGUUAUCGGUGGUAGCUGAAGCCGACAAUGACGGCUGGGGAUUAUAGGGUUCCGAUACGCUCUUGGUGUCCUCUGGCCUGCCACGUUGUGGAAGAGUUUGACACCUGUUUUGUAGCUUUUAGUUGCCUGGCUUAUCUCAUCCUCUCAUCUCUGUCAAUAUUUCACUUUUGUCGCUCUCUGGUGAUGGAUUUCUCUGUUGAUCUUGUGCUGAAAAUGAUCCAAUGAUGGUGAUGACGGAAGACCGUUUGGGUGUACGAUGGUAAACCAGAGGUCGAUCGCUUAUGGAAGGUGCUCCGAUGAUGGUGAAGUUGGAGCGUCUUUGAGGUUUACGUUGCUAAACCCUAAAACACUAGAUUUGGUGUGGCGUUGGCCAUAACGAAGGGCUUUUAGGAUUUUUGAUACUAAGCCCUAAAUCAUUCGUUAUAGGGCAUGCAUGUGUCCUCUCUUAGGGUUUUACAAUAACAAGCCCUAAAUUUGUCAUCGGUACACACGAGGCUAUGAUUAGUCCCGAAAUCAAGUCAGUAUGUCGCCAUGGCGUGGCAGUUGUGGAGGAUGGCAGGUUAUCGCCUGCAACCCCUAUUGCAGCCAUGGUGGCUUGGUCCUUUUGCAUUCUCUGAGCCUCAUGAGUUGUUAAAUGUUGUUUGGAGCUUAGUAUUUGGUUUUCUUCAUGUUGAAUAAACCUAGCUGUUAGAAAUGUUCAGCCGAAUCCCACUAUGGUACAUGAGGCAAUGGAUGAAAUUAAUAUAUGUUAUAUGUAUGUGUGUAUUGUAGGCAUACAUUCACCAAACGCUUUACCGUGGGUUUGUGUGGGAGUUCAUUAAAGAUCCGGAGAUAAUCCGGUUGUUUCCUAACUUUGCAUCUUUUUGCUGGCGGCGUGAUCAAUUUUUUUAACUACUUUAUUAGUUUUUUGUGAAAAUCCAAAAGAAAAGAAAAGAAGUUGCAAUCUGUUGUAACAAAUCGUUUUGAAAAAAAAAAAAACUAUAGAAAUGUGAACACCUAUAAAUAUUUGGGCAGAGUUGGGGAAAGGGAUGGGCUGGGUAACGGGUCAAAAGAUGUAUUUUUUGUGUAGAUCUAAACGGGUCAAGUUGAAUGGAUUUUUUUUUGAUGAUGAGUAUAUAUUACUCCAAUAGCAAGCUAAUAUUUUGAAUAAAACGAUUCAAGUGGAGUUUAAGCAUUAAAACACACCUUUGGGCGGAUUUUGAGUUUUGACCUGUUAUUUAUUUGUUUAUUUUAUCUGUUACAAAUAGAGCAUAUCCUAAAGCAACCCAUUCAUUAGUACGUUGUGAAAUUGCAAUUUCUUAAGACUAUCUUGCCUACUACUUGUAAAGAAGUGUUUUUUCAUUUUAUUUUGGCAAUAACAGUGGUUUGUUUGCAUAGAUAUAAUGAAUUAUUAGAAAAGUAUGACAUUUGACUUAAGACUAACUACAAAUAUACAAUCAUUAGUUUUGUUUAAUAUGACUGAUUUUACAAUAUACACUGCAAGCCAUACUUGACAUCAUCAAAUCGGGUGAGAUUUUCAGGAUCACGACAGCUACAACGAUGCUAGAGCAGGGGACUUGCCAACUAUGCCUAUAUAUCCAGCCAGAUGUCGAGUUUUUUUAUGCAAAUUGCAUGGACAUUUCCUUCGGCGCUUUGAGAACAUGAGGAACAUGGACAUUGUACCAAGGAACAUGGACAUUUUCUUCGUUGUUUUGGUGCGGCAAUCUAAUGAUUUACAGUCACAAUGAUCUACCAAAAUCAGAUUUUUUCAUAAUGGAAGUUUGCUUUUGAUGAUGUUGUUGUCGCUUCUCUUUAAGAGAUUGAUUUGGGUGUCGGUCGACUGCCGCUACCAUCACCACCCACGCCGCACUAUCACCACCGUCGUAACGAUUAGUUAUUCCAAUUUUAAUAUGAAAUCUAUUGUUUGCAACUAAUAUUAGUGUAGGCACCAUUUGUAAUGGUCACAAUGGAUUCGUAGCUGAUGAUAAGAGAUGAGUAUCACCAAAAUAUCUGAAAGAUAUUGAGAUCAUACAAUCUGUUGGUGUGGGUGCUUAGCGUUUCUCUCUAUAAUCGCAAGAAUUUUUCCAGGUAUGAUAUGCAACUGAAAAAAAUGUUAAAACAGACCAAAUAUGUUUGUUUGUUAAUCAUCUUGCAUUGUUGGUUUUUUUCGAGUUUAUCGGAUGUUCCCCGUCUUUGAGUGGGGCUAUACGGGUCAACCCGUGGGAUGUUGAUUGUGCGUUGGAGCUGAAUGACCCCGAGAAGCAAAAGAGAAACCAGACAUUAUAGGUAUGUGAGUACUCAUGAUGUCGGGUAUUGGGCCCGUAGCUUUAUGCAAGAGUUGAAAAGAACAUGCAAUGAUCAUGUGAGGAAAAGGUGUUGGGGGAUACAGUUCGGUUUGAGUUUUUAGAGUUGUCUCUUUACAUCCGAAUUUUAAGAAGCUAUCAAUGGAGCAUAUAGUUUCGGCUUUUAAACGAACUACAACAAGGGCGAUUCUUUUGGAUUAUGAUGGCACUUUGAUGCCUCAAUCUUCCAUCGAUAAAGCCCGACUUCUAAAACGAUAGAGAUUCUCAGUACUUUGUGUAGAGACAAGAACAACAUGAUUUUUGUUGAGAGGGCAAGGAGCUGAAAUACAUUAGGUGAAUGGUUUGCUUCUUUUGAAAAAGUCGGGCUUGCAACAGAGCAUGGGUGUUUUUUAAGGUUGAAAAGUAUAAACUUAACAGUAGUGGUAUAUAUAGAGGAUUAAAAAACUAAGACUGAAUUCAACGCUGUAAUUUCAACGGGAACAAUAGAACAAUGCGAGAUUGUCAACUUUAAAAU